UACGGAGGGUGCAAGCGUUAAUCGGAAUUACUGGGCGUAAAGCGUGCGUAGGUGGUUCGUUAAGUCCGUUGUGAAAGCCCCGAGCUCAACUUGGGAAUUGCAGUGGAUACUGGCGAGCUGGAGUGCGGUAGAGGAAGGUGGAAUUCCCGGUGUAGCGGUGAAAUGCGUAGAGAUCGGGAGGAACACCAGUGGCGAAGGCGGCCUUCUGGACCAAUACUGACGCUCAUGCACGAAAGCGUGGGGAGCAAACAGG
rnacentral:rRNA from 1 species